AGAAUCAACGCUGGCGGCGUGCCUAACACAUGCAAGUCGAACGAGAAAGUGGAGCAAUCCAUGAGUAAAGUGGCGCACGGGUGAGUAACACGUGACUAACCUACCCUUGAGUGGGGGAUAACCUAGGGAAACCUGGGCUAAUACCGCAUAAUACCUUCGGGUCAAAGGAGCAAUUCGCUUAAGGAGGGGGUCGCGGCCGAUUAGUUAGUUGGCGGGGUAAUGGCCCACCAAGACUGUGAUCGGUAUCCGGCCUGAGAGGGCGCACGGACACACUGGAACUGAAACACGGUCCAGACUCCUACGGGAGGCAGCAGUGGGGAAUUUUGCGCAAUGGGGAAACCCUGACGCAGCAACGCCGCGUGGAGGAUGAAGUCCCUUGGGACGUAAACUCCUUUCGAUCGGGACGAUAAUGACGGUACCGAGAGAAGAAGCCCCGGCUAACUUCGCGCCAGCAGCCGC
rnacentral:rRNA from 1 species